rnacentral:rRNA from 1 species
GUCCACGCCCUAAACGAUGUCAACUGGUUGUUGGGUCUUAACUGACUCAGUAACGAAGCUAACGCGUGAAGUUGACCGCCUGGGGAGUACGGCCGCAAGGUUGAAACUCAAAGGAAUUGACGGGACCCGCACAAGCGGUGGAUGAUGUGGUUUAAUUCGAUGCAACGCGAAAACCUUACCCACCUUUGACAUGGCAGGAAUCCUUUAGAGAUAGAGGAGUGCUCGAAAGAGAACCUGCACACAGGUGCUGCAUGGCUGUCGU